GACUAGAAUUAAUGGAUCAUCGAUUUGAUUUUGGAUCUGGAAUAUUUUGGUGUAGACCUAUUUCCUCCUAAAUCUGAAGCUUGUACUUCUUCAAUUAAUAUCAACCCUCUAUUUGAAAGAACUUGAGGUUGUCAAGUGACUUUGAUGAAUAUUCCACUAGGGAUCGAUUAAUCAAGAGUAGUUGAUAUUUUGACAAAGAAACUUGAUGUUCUUAUUCAAAAUUAAGACGUUGAUUUUUAUUUAUGAGAGAGAGAAGUUUGAUUUACAUCAUCUA